UGGGUCAAUGUAACGACAUUU
rnacentral:piRNA from 1 species